CAUCUGGGUAAGUAGUCCUUCCUAAAAGGCUUGAAGUAGCAUGCAUUAACUCUAUUUUUCAAAAUGUCUGACAUCUUGACUGUUGCCUAGCAAGGUGCUGGCACACAGUGGGCAGUAGAUACAUAUUUAAUGAGAGAAUAAUCGGAUGCCAAGAUAGGACUUGUCCCACCCUUUCCAUUAGUGCUAAUCGUCUUCAGCUGUCAGCUCAAAUGUCACUUUCCUGAUCUUCCCAAAUUAGAACAGAUCCCCCUUUUAUAUGUCAUUAGAGCACAGUGUACGUUUUUCUUACACCACACCCAUUAUAGUUUAUAAUUAUUCAUUUUGUGAAGCUGUUUAGUAGCUGUCUUCAAAGCUAGGAGGGAUGAGAUUUUGUUUCUUUUGUCCGCUACUAUAUUCCUAGAAUCUAGGACAGCACUCGCCAGUGAUAGAUAUGUGUGGAAUUAACUGAAUAAAUGAAUGACUGAAUAUUUGUUGAAUUGUAAAUGGUGCCGGAAGAACGUCUUACGUUCACCUAAUUUUUUUUGAGACUCUCGUGAUGUUCUACAGCAUGUAUUAGUAUCCUAAUUUCGCUAGUGGAAAAAGCAAACCCCUCAAGAUUCCGGUCUAGGAUCACACAUCUCGUAGGCAUUAGAAUUCAGACUUGAGUUAAAAGGCUCAAAACUAAUUCCUAGUCCAGUGCUUCUUCUACACCCCAGCUGGUACAUACGUCAAAAACUAUGAGUGUCUGUUUUAAGACUGACGGCAUGAUACGCUCAGGCAAAGAGCAGAAUAACGUUAAACGUGGAAUGAAAAUAAAGCCAUUCAGCUUGAAGCCUGUGGUGACUUAGUGGUGACACUCUGCCCCAAACAGAUGGGCCAUUUUGGAUGACAGCAAGCUAACCCAGUUGGGUUGUCUUGUUUAAGAAGGAUAAAGCCAGGUGAAAGGGGGCUGGGAGGUGGGAAGCGGCAGUUACAGAGCUUAGGAUGUGCACCCAGGACUCGUGAGCACUUGUUGCUGGUCCGCGGGAGGUCUGCUAUGCACCCCAAUCUGGGUACCCAGAGGCUGCAAAACAAAUCCAGCGGGCAGAAAUGUUUUCAUUUGGUUGCGAUGUUUAAAAGAAGCGAACCAAGACCAUAUAAUUCAAGAUUCCAUUUCUAUGAAGUGUCCGGAGUAGGCAACUCUAUAGGGACAGAAUGCAGACUGGUGUGUGAUUGCCAGUGCUGGGGGGAAGGGAAGAUUGGGGAGUGACCGCUAAAAGGUGUGGCGUUUCUUUUUGUAGUAAUGAAAUGUUCUGAAAUCGUGGUGAUAGUUGCACAACUCUGUGAAUAUACUAAAAACCAUUGAAUUGUACACUUUAAAUAGAUGAACUGUAUGGUAUGUGAAUUACAUUUCAAUAAUGCUGUUACCAAAAAAAAAAAAAGUGAGCCAACAGUUAAAAAUUGGGAGGUUUUGGGCUUCCCUGGUGGCGCAGUGGUUGAGAGUCUGCCUGCCGAUGCAGGGGACACGGGUUCAUGCCCCGGUCUGGGAGGAUCCCACGUGCUGCGGAGCAGCUGGGCCCGUGAGCCAUGGCCGCUGAGCCUGCGUGUCCGGAGCCUGUGCUCCGCAACGGGAGAGGCCACAGCAGUGAGAGGCCCGCGUACCGAAAAAAAAAAAAAAAAAACGGGAGGUUUCACAUAUAAAUUUGGAUGCCCUGCUGCUCUUGAAAAAACAGACGGGAGCCCUAGCAACACUGGGACGUGCGACUGCCUGUGACACUAGUGACCACCUCCCGCCCCUGCGUGAACCACGCCUCUGGUAUUUGUGCCUUUACGCAUUCUUUGCAGGUCACAGUGCCAAAGGGCUGAGACUGUGACCUGCUUUGGUGAAGAGACUGUGGCAGAAGCGUCCCUGAGCCAGGUCUGAGCGUAAACCUUAAGAAUUUCUUUUGUGCCUUGGGAGCCCUGAACCAGCUACCUUGCUGGAGAGACCGCGUGUUGGGGGACAUCCUGCAGCUACAUGGAGAAGGGGUCCCGGUGCCUCAGCCUCCCAGCCCACCUUCCCGAUGAAGGAAGACACACAAGUAACCACCAGCAAGACCGACGGGACAAACUGCCCACCUGAGCCUCCACCCAGCUCGCAGAAUUAACAGAUGCAGUGUUCAGAAACCCGGACUCUAGCCAUUCUGGAUGUGAAUUUCCCCUGGGGCCCAGGAGAAGACAAGUGACAUAGAUGGGCCCAGCCAGCCUGAAGGAAAGGACUCCAGUGACUGCAGGAGAGAUACACCCUUCCAGACCAGGCGUGAAUUAGGACGCCCAUAGCCCUAGUUGCCGGGGGUAGGGGGGGAGCUAUUUCACAAUCAUGUGAUAAACCAGUGUAGGAUGAAGCCAGCUGUGUGGAUAGCACAGUAAAGAAUCAGAGGGCUUCCCUGGUGGCGCAGUGGUUGAGAGUCUGCCUGCGAUGCAGAGGACACGGGUUCGUGCCCCGGUCCGGGAAGAUCCCACAUGCUGCGGAGCAGCUGGGCCAGUGAGCCAUGGCCGCUGAGCCUGCGCGUCCGGAGCCUGUGCUCUGCAGCGGGAGAGGCCACAAGAGGCCACAACGGUGAGAGGCUCACAUACCGCAAAAAAAAAAAAAAAAAGAGAGAUGUCACAUAACAAAAGAUAGUAAAUUUGACAUUGUUUAAGCCACUGUGUUGGAUUUUCUGUUACGUGUAGCCCCAAACCACCUAUUGUGAUUCGAUCAAAAAGUGGGAAAAUAAAAAAUAUAAGGGGAGGGCAGCCUGAUAUUUCUCCCUACACACACAGCCCAAUUCGCUCUUAGAGUUUUCUCUCAGAAAACCGCUCGCAGGCUCUAGAGACCAGGCUUCAGUAGUUGUGGCAUGUGGGCUCAGUAGCUGUGGCUUGCGGGCUCUAGAGUGCAGGCUCAGUAGUUGCGGCUCGUGGGCUCAGUAGUUGUGGCUUGUGGGCUCUAGAGCGCAGGCUCAGUAGUUGUGGCACUCGGGCUCAGUAAUUGUGGCUCACGGGCUCUAGAGCACAGGCUCAGUAGUUGUGGCUCAUUGGCUUACUUGCUCCGCAGCAUGUGGGCUCUUCCCGGACCAGGACUCGAACCCGUGUCCCCUGCAUUGGCAGGCGGAUUCGUAACCACGGUGCCACCAGGGAAGCCCUCUUAGAGUUUUCUGCCUGGCCCCUGUGAUCAGUGAGCUUGCAGCCUGUGUACUAAGCCCCAAGAAUUGAAUACUUAAAAGAACUGAUAGUUGAUGUACGUUGAGUGUCACCACUUUGUUGGGUAUACUUGUGAUACACCCCCUGUUCCUGAAAGUAGUUGUGUGAGUCUCUCCCAUGCACCUAAAAUAAUCAAGUAAAUAAAAGACUUAACUCACACAGCAGGCGUCCAGGGAUAGGUGACACCGUCUUAUCAAGUUUUAUGGGCGGCCUCUUUGCCUCCAGGGCCCUCUGGGAAAGAGGACCUUACCGCAGGUAAGCUUGUGGUGUGGACUAGAAUUGGAAAUGCGCCGUUUGCUCAAAACUCAGGGCCCUUCCUUCUCUGCUGUCACCCUGUCCCCUAUGCCUUUCUCAGAGCAGAACUCAGAGAAGAUGCUCUCUGAUGGGAGGUAUUCAGAAACCACCCAAGGUUGAGGACAUUUCAGGGGCUGCCCAAUUUCUCUUUUUUCAUGAUAUUUCUGCUUCUCAUUUCACAUCUGCAUGGCCCAGCCCUUGCGACCAGACAGUGGCAUGUGCCUACUCACAGUUUCAGCUUCCUCAAAAUGCUGGUUUACAGAUAGUCAUCAUGGAUUUUCUCCACCUCCACACAUCACUCGCUCGAUCUACAAACGGCUGAACACCUUCCCCACAUGUCGUGGCGGCUCAUUGUCGGCGCUCACGGCCAGUGCUUCUGCUUUUCUGUGUCCCAGUUCCCUGCAGAGGGACUUAAGCCCAGCUCACCUUUGUGCAUCAGGCCAUGGCAUAGGUCAUUAGCUAAGGUCGCAGGCCAUGUCAUUGGUCUUUCGACUCUCCUCAGGUAUGGAAAGUUGUCAGAAAUUCUAUUUAUCGCAGGGAGUCCCUAUUGCGAUAGUUCUAUCUGGCUGGGGAUAAUCUAGGUAGAAGCAGAAAGUAGAAGGACUAAAAACGGAGCCAACCAAUGGAAUGGAGUCAAGUCUUGUUUUCUGGAGCCCAAAGCAAAGCCAUACCAACCUGCCUUUGUGAGAAUGAAUUCAGCUUUCAGGAUGACCUGUGUUUUAUUUUUACAGAAGACGUGAGAGCAUGUGACCAGGAAGAUGGGUUUUGAUUUGACUUUUUUGAAGCACUCGCUUUAUUUGACCUUUGGAGUAGCAACCUCUGCUUCUUGGGUUCUUUUCCCUCCUGGGUUUUAAAGACCUACAAGACAUCUGCCGAAGUCGGGCAUUCACAGAUUAAAAAAGGGAGGUAUAAGAGGGAGUGAGAGAGUUAAGUGAAAGAAAGUGAGCUUCUGUUUCUUCCUAUUUGAAGUACAAGAUGUGAACAGAUGUGGGACCACGCCUAACCAUUCUCUUUUAACUACCACUUUAAAAAAAUUCCUUAUAAAUAUCUUAAUUUAUGUUGCAAUCAUAAAAUAGAUAAUUGGUACUUAUAAGUGUAUUUAUUUUGAAAAUUAGGCCUUACAGGAAAGAUCAGUGGAGAUGAAUCCAAAGGAUAAAAAUUGAAGCACAUACAUAAAAUAAUUCAUCAUGUGAUAAUUAAAGGCAUUUCCAAACCCAUGGGGAAAAGAAUGGAUUAUUCAAUAAAUUCUGUUGGAAGAAAGUAAAUGUGGGGAAAAUUGGCUUCACAUAUUGUACUGACAUAAAUUCCAGACGGAUAAAAUAUUAUCAUGGACAAAUCGAAAAGAUAAAAGCGUUAAGAGAAAACUGGGCAAAUAUAAAAUCUCAGGAGGGGAAUGCUUUUCUAAGUCUAACACUAAAGCCAUAAAGGAAAAGUUAAUUGAUUUGACUCCAUAAAGAUAUAAAACUUAUCUGUAAAAAAGAAAAGAACCAUUGCAGUUAACAGCAAACAAACUGAAAAAAAAAAAAUUGAAACACAUAUGACAAAGUUGCUGUCCUGUUUUAUAGAGUUCUUUGGAAUCUUAUGAAAUGUAUUGGAUAAGCAUCCCGUAAAUAAAAUUGGCAAAGUGAAUGUCCAGGCAUUAUGGGGAAGAGCUAUCCCUUGGGCCUAGUCAGCAUCUAUUCCUCCUCUGGUAAGAGAACCUGGAUAUUCUAGGGAAAUCAGUGCUCCCUCUGGUUCAGGUGGGACUGGCUGGUCCCCUAGGCUAGGAAUGGUCGUGUGACCUAAGCCCAUCCAAUCAGCAGUAGUCCAUCUAUUGCACUACAGCGGCUGGUUCAAAGAUGGACAUGCGACCCAAAUUGGUUUAAUCAGAGCUAACCCCAUGACUUAUUCUGGAGUAACCAGGAAGAAACAUUCCUCUUCCUGCUAGAUUUGGAAUUAUAAAGAUAUAAGCCUGGAGUUGCUGGGGACCAUCUUGUGAAACCCAAGAAUUAAGCAACCCAGAAGAAGGUUGAAAUGAAGUGAGGAAGCCCUUGUUUCAAAAUGACAUUUUCUAGGUCUUGGUUCUGACCCUGGCUUAAAGUAGCUUCCCGCCCCACCCUGGACAUUUCAACUGUGAGCCCAUAAAUUCUCAUUUUGAUUAAGCAAGAGUGACUUUCUGUCAUCUGCAAUUGAAAAAUCCCCAGCUAAUACAAGCAAUACAUACAUAUGCCUGCACAGAGAGAGAAAAGAAAAAAUACAAUGCCCUUCAGGAAAAAAAAUCAAAUUUCACCGAUGAUUAAAAAUGCAAAAAGAGGGAUGCUUUGUCACUUGAAUGGAGAAAUACCCAGUGUUCGCAGUGUUUUGGUAGAUGAGUGUGCGUGUAAAUGACCAAUGCAGAGUUACAUUGUACGACUGUUCUGGAGGACAAUUAGUCACUUGUAUGGAAACCACAUUUGCCUACACUUUGAAAGUGCAAUUCCAUUUCUGGGAACUUAAGAAUGUGCGCAGAGACUUAGAUAUAAAAUGUUCAUUGCAGUGUUGCUUAAAAUAGCAAAAAGAUUAGAAACAGCAAAGAUACACAAUAAGAAGACAUUGGUUAAAUAAAUUACAGUGCUUGCAUACACUGGAAUGUUAUGUAGUUACUCACAUGAUACUGUAGAAGUAGGUUCUGAGAAGUGUUGCUGAUAUGUCAUUGUAUUAGUUUUCUGUGCUGUGUAACAAAUGACCCCAGCCUUAGCAGCUCAAACAACAGGCACCUAUUAUCUGGCAGCUCUGCAGGUCGGGAGACUGGGCAUGCCUGACUGGGUUCUCAGCUCCGGGUCUCACAAAGCUGACAGCGAGGUGUGGAUGGGGCUGAGAUCUCACCUAGAGCUCUUUCCAGCUCCUGUGCUUGUGGCCAAGUGUAGUUCCUUGAGGUCGGGGGGUUAGGGGGGCCCAUCUCAUGCUAGCUAGCAGUUGGGGGCUGCUCUCAGCCCCUCGUACCUGCCAGUACUCCUUGUCACGCAGCCCCCCUUUAUCCCCAAAGCCAGCAAUAGAGAAUCUCCCUGACAUCGUAUCCUCUCUCAUACUUUGCAUCUUUCCAACAUCAGGAAAUGUCCAGUCCCUUUAAAGAAACAGCUCUUGGGUUUGACUCACCCUGCAUACGGAGGGCAACUGAUUUGGGAAUUGAAUCACUUCUGCAAAUUCUCUUCACAGCACCAACUGGAUGGGUGUUUGAACUGGAAGAAGGUGUAAAACAGGAGGUGGGAAAUCUUGGGGGCCAAGUUAGAAUUUUGCCCAUCACAAUUGCAAAAAGAGCAGUUACUCCCCCCCCACAAAGUGUAGAGUGUUCCUAUUUUUUUGUAACAAUCACACACAAAAAACAGGAUAAAAGUCAACAACUGAGUCCAAAAGAGAGCCAAAGAAUCAUAGUAAAGAAGUCGCAUUGCCUGUGUUACUUUGGGAGGUCUCCUGCUUCCUGUGUCUCAGUUUGCUCAUCUGCAAAGUGGUGAGAACCAUAGUGCCUACCGUCUAGGACUGGGGGCGGGGGGGACUGAGGAGUAUGGCAGAGUGCUUAGAACAGUGCCAAGCACAGGUGAGCACCACUACUACGAUGAUUAUUUGUGAAGUCUGGAAAAACUUGAAACCAAAGUGUUUAUAGCCUUUUUCUCAGAUAGUGGGAUGCUGUGUGAUUUUAAAAUUCUGUUUUGUUUAUCUGUAUGGCUAUGUAACAAAACUUGGUUAUGUAAUAAAAGUUAAUUGAAAUUUUUAAAGAUUAA